rnacentral:lncRNA from 1 species
AGGUAAUAGAGUGUUUUUAUGUCCUAUUGCCUUAGGAUUUACUCUAUCUACUUAUUUCCUGAAUGUCUUUCCUUUUGUUUUGUUUUGUUUAGUAUUUGCUGCAAGCUAUUUUAGAAGGAGAGGUUUCUCUUUAGAAAGUAAUUUCAUCAUCAACAACACUACAUUGUUCUUGCUGCGUAAGAUUGACUGGGAUGUGUUUUAAGCAGCUACAGUGCAGUGCCAUGAAAGCGUAUAUUGUCCAUGACACACUGGGAUUAUCAUGAUUGCUUACUCCAUUUCGAAUUUAACCACUGGCCACGAAAUCUGCAUGGUUGGCAGCAAAGACUGGAUUUUUAAAGAGAGCAUAACAGCUGUGCAGUUCCAAGAGGUGAUGUGAGCAGGUUGCCUGAACAGUCACAGAACAGCAGAGAAUCCCUUGAGUGGG